CCUACGGGAGGCUGCAGUAGGGAAUCUUGCACAAUGGGCGAAAGCCUGAUGGAGCAACGCAGCGUGCAGGAUGAAGGCCUUCGGGUUGUAAACUGCUUUUAUAAGCGAGAAAUAUGAUGGUAACUUAUGAAUAAGGAUCGGCUAACAACGUGCCAGCAGCCGCGGGCAUACGUAGGAUCCGAGCAUUAUCCGGAGGGACUGGGUGUAAAGAGUUGCGUAGGUGGCAUAAUAAGUAGCAAGUGAAAUCUGGUGGCUCAACCAUUCAGACUAUUAGCUAAACUGUUAAGCGCGAGACCGUUAGGGGUAACUGGAAUGUCUAGUGUAGGAGUGAAAUCCGUAGAUAUUAGAAAGAACACCGAUAGCGUAGGCAGGUUACUGGGACGGUUCUGACACUAAGGCACGAAAGCGUAGGGAGCAAACAGGAUUAGAUACCCGGGUAGUC
rnacentral:rRNA from 1 species